rnacentral:lncRNA from 1 species
CUAUAGUAUCUGCCUCUAAUGUUGGAGUAUUAUCUGUAACCAAAAUCAAGUCCAGUAAAGUAGAUGUUGUUCUUGUGACGCGAGUAGGUUUAUUUAUUAAUUGUUUCAGAUUAAAUGAAUCAAUAGACUCACUAAAGAGAACCGUUUUUCUUUCACUAACAUCCAACAUGUCAAUGUUGAAAUCUCCACCCAUAACCAUAUAAUCACAUUCAGGUAUGUAGCUAGAAACAGUGUCUUCAAACGUGUUAAGAAAUUCGA